rnacentral:rRNA from 1 species
GAACACCGGGAUGCCUUCGUAACGGCGUAGUGAAGCGGCAACAGCUCAAUUUGAAAUCUGGCCCCUCCGGGGUCCGAGUUGUAAUUUGCAGAGGAUGCUUCGGCGUUGGCACCGGCCCAAGUGCCUUGGAACAGGCCGUCCCAGAGGGUGAGAACCCCGUGUCCGGCCGCGUCGCCGCGCCAUGUGUAGCUCCCUCGACGAGUCGAGUUGUUUGGGAAUGCAGCUCUAGCGGGUGGUAAAUUCCAUCUAAAGCUAAAUACCGGCCGGAGACCGAUAGCGCACAAGUAGAGUGAUCGAAAGAUGAAAAGCACUUUGAAAAGAGAGUUAAAAAGCACGUGAAAUUGUUGAAAGGGAAGCGCUCGCGGCCAGACUCGCGGCGGGGGUUCAGCCGGCCGUCAGGCCGGUCCACUCCCCCGCCCGCGGGCCAGCAUCAGUUGGGGCGGCCGGAGAACGGCGCCGGGAACGUAGCCCCUCGGGGUGUUAUAGCCCGGCGCAUAAUGCGGCCCGCCCCGACUGAGGAUCGCGCUUCGGCUCGGAUGCUGGCGUAAUGGCCGUGAGCGGCCCGUCUUGAAACACGGACCAAGGAGUCUACCAUCUAUGCGAGUGUUUGGGUGUCAAACCCGUGCGCGCAAUGAAAGUGAACGGAGGCGGGAGCUCGCACGAGCGCACCGUCGACCGAUCCCGAUGUUCUCGGAAGGAUUUGAGUACGAGCAUAGCUG